UCUUCCACAAUGGACGAAAGUCCGAUGGAGCAACGCCGCGUGAGUGAUGAAGGUUUUCGGAUCGUAAAACUCUGUUGUAAGGGAAGAACAAGUACGUUAGGAAAUGAACGUACCUUGACGGUACCUUAUUAGAAAGCCACGGCUAACUACGUGCCAUCAGCCGCGGUAAUACGUAGGUGGCAAGCGUUGUCAGGAUUUAUUGGGCGUAAAGCGCGCGCAGGCGGUUUCUUAAGUCUGAUGUGAAAGCCCACGGCUUAACCGUGGAGGGUCAUUGGAAACUGGGAGACUUGAGUGCAGAAGAGGAAAGUGGAAUUCCAAGUGUAGCGGUGAAAUGCGUAGAGAUUUGGAGGAACACCAGUGGCGAAGGCGACUUUCUGGUCUGCAACUAACGCUGAGGCGCGAAAGCAUGGGGAGCAAACAGG
rnacentral:rRNA from 1 species